rnacentral:rRNA from 1 species
UAAGGAAUAUUGGUCAAUGGACGCAAGUCUGAACCAGCCAUGCCGCGUGGAGGAUGAAGGCCCUCUGGGUUGUAAACUUCUUUUAUAUGGGACGAAAAAGGGUCUUUCUAGAUCAACUGACGGUACCAUGUGAAUAAGCACCGGCCAACUCCGUGCCAGCAGCCGCGGUAAUACGGAGGGUGCAAGCGUUAUCCGGAUUCACUGGGUUGAAAGGGUGCGUAGGUGGGUUGGUAAGUCAAUGGUGAAAUCUCCGAGCUUAACUUGGAAACUGCCAUUAAUACUAUCAGUCGUGAAUAUUGUGGAGGUAAUCGGAAUAUGUCAUGUGGCGGUGAAAUGCUUAGAUAUGGCAUAGAACACCAAUUGCGAGGACGGCUGGCUACGCAUAUAUUGACACGGAGGCACGAAAGCGUGGGGAGCAAACA